UACGUAGGGCGCAAGCGUUGUCCGGAAUUAUUGGGCGUAAAGAGCUCGUAGGCGGCUUGUCACGUCGGGUGUGAAAGCCCGGGGCUUAACCCCGGGUCUGCAUUCGAUACGGGCUAGCUAGAGUGUGGUAGGGAGGAUCGGAAUUCCUGGUGUAGCGGUGAAAUGCGCAGAUAUCAGGAGGAACACCGGUGGCGAAGGCGGAUCUCUGGGCCAUUACUGACGCUGAGGAGCGAAAGCGUGGGGAGCGAACAGG
rnacentral:rRNA from 1 species